AUAGAGAGUGGGAUUUUGGUUUGUAUAGGAAGGAACUCUGCAAUGAUUCUAGCCUUGAUUUUGGUUUAUAAUCACGUGCAUAUCACAAUUUGUAGUCCAAAAUUAACUCAUCAUGGAUAAAGUUAGAUUUUGGUUUUGUUUUCCCUCACAGUUUCUAGCAGUUCAAGGAAUUGGUGCCAGCCUUUUGUUUAGGCAUUGGAGAAUGCAAUUGGAAUCUCAAUGGCCAUAAUCCAAGCUAUAAAGCAUAAUUGUCAAUAGACCAUCAUAUGUUGGUGGGUAGCAAUACACGCCCUUUUCAAGGCCGUUCUAAAGGAUAUUUUAAAAUGUAUGGUCAGACCGGACAUUUAGUGCAAUGGUUGAAAUCUUAAUAAAUUUUUUUUAUUU